AUGAACGCUGGCGGCGUGCCUAAUACCUGCAAGUCGAACGGGGAGUAGCAAUACUCUUAGUGGCGAACGGGUGAGUAACGCGUUGGUACCUGCCCCGAAGCGGGGGAUAACGGACCGAAAGGUCCGCUAAUACCCCAUGUGCUCGGUAACGAGUAAAGGUGAAAACCACUUUGGGAGGGGCCUGCGUCCCAUCAGCUAGUUGGUAAGGUAACGGCUUACCAAGGCGAUGACGGGUAGGGGACCUGAGAGGGUGGCCCCCCACAAUGGAACUGAAACACGGUCCAUACACCUACGGGUAGCAGCAGUAGGGAAUAUUGGUAAUGGGCGCAAGCCUGAACCAGCAACGCCGCGUGUGCGAUGACGGCCUUCGGGUUGUAAAGCACUUUUGACUGGGACGAGGAAGGACGGUACCGGUCGAAUCAGCCUCGGCUAACUACGUG
rnacentral:rRNA from 1 species